AGGACAGAACAGAUAUAAUUCAUUAACACUACAUUAGACUUUUACAAUAUUACAAUUUACACUUGGCUUCACACUUCAGAACCAAAAACUCUUUGCUAAGUACUGCUUCACACUUGGCUUCACAUCUUUCACACUUGGCUUCACAGCUUCACACUCCAAAAAAAUAGGCCUGGAGCUCCUGUAAAAGAAUGAACAUAAAGGCCACCAAAAUUUGAGUGUACUGCUGCUGAGGCUAGAACCAAACAACUUCAAUAUUACAAUAAAAAGAAUUCUCAGGUUUAUCAAGCACAGCAAAGCAGCAGUGUGGCCAUCAGUCAGAUCUGAAUAUACAACAAAAGAGGUCUCAGGUUUAGACUGAAAAGGAAGAGCUAGUUAUGCAUGAUGUCUCAGGUUUAAACAAAAGAUCAAGACCACAAUUUUAACAAGAGAUAUAUAGUCAGUCCAAUUGAACAAAACCUAGACAGUUGCAUUAUGAGUAUUUAAGUGGAGAUGUAGCAGGCAAUCAAAUGAAUAUAUUCUGGAGAUGAUGAAUAAAAUUAGGCAAUCAACAGCUUAAGCAUCACAAGAAUGAGAAGAACAAGAAUGUGUUAGCAGCACAAGAAUUAGUAGCACAUACAUGUCUGCAUGAUCCAACAAGAAUGAUUAUAUUCAAUUUUGUUAGCAGCACAAGAAUGAGCAAUAGCAGCACAAGCAGCACCACCACCAGCACAAGUGCACACCUAUUCAAGCAAGCAGCUAGCAGUAGAAGCAUUCAAACAGCAGCAGCACUGUCACAUGUCAUAUCUUAUAAACUUAGGCAUGUGUUCUCAGGUUAUCCUUAACAUCACGCACUAACUUGGGUAAUUAGCAGCAAACAAUACAUAUCAGUACAAGGCUAGGCAAGAUAAUAAAGACUUGGGAAAAGAUAGCAGAUUUAAAAAAAUGAUACAUGCCCUUGAAGAGAGGGCAGUGGCAAGCGUGACCAUGAACAUAUGCAUUAGCCGCACCCACGACCCCUGGAUGCUCUCACGACUGAAAAGGAGGUUCCUUGCAUAUGGUCUCCUUCGGGUCUGCGAGAGAAAGAACGAGGUGAGGGCCAGAUCAGCUUAAGCAUACAAGCACACUAUAGCCUACAAACGUAUCAGUAUACAGGCAGCAAUAGUAUCCUCGAGCACAGCAAAACAGUAGCUUGACCCAUAUAAGUCAUAACUCUGAAGAAAGAAAGAAAGAACAGGUUCAGCUAGCUAAGUAUUCAGAGUUGAGAGCUAAGUAAUUUGUUUGUUUAUGCUGUAACUGACAGACCUAGUAUGAGAAACAAGCAAAGUAAAACAGUAUUGAUUCGAUGGCAAAACAAGCUAAGCUACUUAGCUAGUAGGUGACCAUCCAAUCCAUGAUGCAGCAGCAGGUGCAAAUAUAAUAUGAUGUGAAGAAGACGCUAGCUGGAGUGGUGGGGGAUGAAACCAAAAUUACAAAGCAUAGUCGGACGCUGGAACCAAAAAAACUAGAUGAAUCUCACUAACAGGAGCACUAGGUGAUUAAUGGAAGAAGUAAUCUGCAAAUUACAAAGUGAACAAGUGAAGGAUUUAUAUCUCUCUGUGUGGAACAACUAAGUUGAUGAAGACAUGCAGCAUCAACAGCGAAGCCUUGCAUCAUUUGUUUGGUCGGGUCGACGCUGGAAAGAGCGCCGCUGUACAUGAUCAGCACAUGAGUGGCUCAACCUCUCUAUCCCCUACCUCAACUUGCCCGUGUGGUUGCUGCAGUUCGAUACAAGUGUGUAAAUACAACAUACUUUGCAUCAUAUAUCUAGACUACAACAUCUUAUUCUCACCAACAUUUAUGCAUCAAAAUCACUACUGAAAGUAAAAAGAUGGCAUGUAGUAAACUGGUAAUAGUAACAGGCUGUUGUAGUAGUAUAUAUUUAUGGUAGGUCAAUGGCAGAGCAUGAAGGUUCCAUGAGGUUGCAUGUAGUACUACUUCGAAGGUACAAAUUUUGUAGCUAGUGUAUGUGCCAUACUAUAUCAUGCUAAUGCAUGGGCAUACAAGAUGCAGUAAAGAGAGCUCAUAUAGUUCAUUGAGCACAAAUUAACAAGCAAGAGUAGCAUAUGACAAUUAUGCGCCAAGUUUGUUGUCAUUGCACUGGUAACCAACAAGGUUAAGUUUCAGUAACUGCAAACAUGCAUUGUCAUGUGAGUAUAUGACCGCUAGCAAUAACACAGCAAGCAUGUUUUAGAGAGAUAGUACUAGCAAGCAUAGUUCUGUCUGAACCCUUUUUUCACAUAUGGAUGUGUUAGCGCUACAACUAACAUUAAAGCUAAAUAUAUAUCCAUGUUAUAGCAGUAAAUAAAUAUACAUAGAGCACAGCGAUGAAGUCAAGCUCAGGGCUUCACCUUGCUUAGUAAUUUUGUUUCCAGACCACAAAAUGUACACCAGAUCAUCUACUCAUCAUCUACAACAACUCAAAGUGGCAGUAGCUCAAAAACAAGCAAAACAACUACUUAGUUCUUAGUCUCGAAGCUCAUAGGGCAGUCUGAUAAGCAUGGACAAAAAUAAACAGAUGCGUAUCAGAUGGAAACAAGCAAAACAACUACUUAGUCCUGAACAUGGUGCGAAGUAUACUCUCUAAAAAAUACUCCCUGCAUCCGGAAAUGCUUGAAAUAAGGGUGCA
rnacentral:lncRNA from 1 species